rnacentral:tRNA from 1 species
GGGGGGCUGGCGCAACGGUAGCGCGGUACGUUGAACCGAUGACCCAAAGGUUGUCCGUUCGAAUCGGGCGCUCCUCA